UUUGAAAAAUGUCGCACGUCGUGCGAGCUGUCGCGCGGUUUUGAUUUUACCGUUUCGAUAUCGAUUGGUCGAAAGGACGACAAACGGACGACAAACACUCGACAUGCCCGACAUUGUUUUUUCCAUCGAUUUUCCUUCAAUUUGACGUCACGAUUUUCGUCGACGCAGUUUGACAGUUCUCUUCAGUUGGUCUUGUUUGGACUUGAUCAAAUCAGAGAAACUUUGAACCGAAUCGAACCAGUUUACGUUGUUGAAAAGUUCGUGUGGAUUUUUGCCGGUUGAUUGAUUUUCUGAUUUCGGCCUUCGUGGUGGAGGAGGAGGAGAACGGGUCACAUCGUUGCUCCGGCGGGCCAUGCCGGAAGACGGGAAGGGGAGCACCCGGUCUGUGAUCGAGGAAGCGGAUUGGUGUUUAACUUUCCGCGGGAUGUGGCGGUGCAUGGUUUUUAUACGGUAACCAAAAAUAUUCCAAUCGAAUCCUGCUGACAACCCAGCGUUUCCGUAUUGUCCCACGGAACGGAAGCUGUAACGAUCGCAAAAACACCUGCACUGGAAGUGCGUAUACCAACGUUGUCCCGUAGGCCAUCAAUCUGUGAGAAUUAAAUAGAAGCGCCGCUCCAGUGCCGUAUCUACACGCUGGUGUCGACUCCAAAAGAUGGCUGACAAAGUCCGGCCAAGAUGCCGAAGCGACGAGAUGAGCUGAAAGGCCAAUCGGAAGACAACGCCAAAAACCACGUGAAGAUCGCGACACACAACAAGAAAAAUUAAUGAAUGUUUGUGAAAUCGAGUGAAAAAGAUUAAUUAACAGAAAAAAUAUAUCUAAAAAUAAUUUAAAAUAUUUUUUCUUUUAUUUUUACUGCAACAUAACCUAAAAAACAGCACACGACAAAGGCACGACAACCUAAAUAACAAAACCGUGCGACGUCGGUCGAAUGUCGUACGACAAUGUCGAACAAUUUCGAUGAUCGAUCGCACGACAAAUACGACAUUUUGGUGCAAAAACGUAUGACAUUCGUGCGAAAGUCGCACGACAUUGUCGUGCGACGUCGUACGGUUGCACGGACGACAAACGACGGACGUCCGACGGACUUUUCAG